rnacentral:rRNA from 1 species
UACGAAGGGGGGCUAGCGUUGCUCGGAAUCACUGGGCGUAAAGGGUGCGUAGGCGGGUCUUUUAAGUCAGGGGUGAAAUCCUGGAGCUCAACUCCAGAACUGCCUUUGAUACUGAAGAUCUUGAGUUCGGGAGAGGUGAGUGGAACUGCGAGUGUAGAGGUGAAAUUCGUAGAUAUUCGCAAGAACACCAGUGGCGAAGGCGCUCACUGGCCCGAUACUGACGCUGAUGCACGAAAGCGUGGGGAGCAAACAGG